rnacentral:rRNA from 1 species
GAUUAACGCUAGCGGCAGGCAUAAUACAUGCAAGUUGAACGGCAGCACAGGUAGCAAUACUGGGUGGCGAGUGGCGCACGAGUGCGUAACACGUAUGCAACCUACCCUAUACAGGCGAAUAACCUUUAGAAAUGAGGGCUAAUACGCCGUAGUAUUACAGAUGGGCAUCUAUUUGUAAUUAAAGAUUUAUCGGUAUAGGAUGGGCAUGCGUCCCAUUAGUUAGUUGGUAAGGUAACGGCUUACCAAGACGAUGAUGGGUAGGGGAUCUGAGAGGACUUACCCCCACACUGGUACUGAGACACGGACCAGACUCCUACGGGAGGCAGCAGUAAGGAAUAUUGGGCAAUGGCCGCGAGGCUGACCCAGCCAUGCCGCGUGCAGGAAGACGGCCUUAUGGGUUGUAAACUGCUUUUAUACGGGAAUAAUAGAGUGUACGCGUACAUUUAUGCAAGUAUCGUAUGAAUAAGCAUCGGCUAACUCCGUG